rnacentral:misc_RNA from 1 species
ACUCCCAGAGCUGUUCUCUGCUGAGAGCUGAGCUGGUUUCCUGCACCACAAGCUUACACUGACAUACAAGGUCUUGCCGCAGGUCCAAAGCUCUGUGGCCAGCUGACCACGUACUGAUACCUCAAAGCGAGCCAACAUGGCGCCUCUCACUGCAAGUUGACUCAUCUCAGGUUGUUGGUAUGGCCGCACUUCUUCUUGCGGCAGUUGACUGCACGAGGGUGCAGGCGUGCGUAGCACUUGCGGCAGAUCAUCUUGUCACAGUUGUACUUCUGGGCAAGCUGACGAAGGGAUGGCUCAAUGAUGCCACCGCGCAGACGCAGCACCAGGUGCAAGGUGGACUCUUUCUGGAUGUUGUAGUCGGACAGGGUGCGGCCAUCCUCCAGCUGUUUGCCCGCGAAUAUCAGCCUCUGCUGGUCAGGUGGGAUGCCUUCCUUGUCUUGGAUCUUGGCCUUGACAUUCUCGAUGGUGUCACUGGGCUCGACCUCAAGAGUGAUGGUCUUGCCCGUCAGGGUCUUCACGAAGAUCUGCAUGUUGGCGUCUGCCGCUCGGCCGCCUCGUUGAAGAGUGGAUAAAGCAAUUUAAAGAGAAUUUUCUUGGCUCUGGGCUUUUCACAUACAAAAGCAGAGUGGUGCCUAAGAGAAGAUGAGAGGUAGCGUCUCGCAAAGCCACCUGAACCAGCAGCAUUCUUUUCCAUGGACACUGUGAUGAAUUAGCAUUGCUGUGCACACUCCUCGAAAAUCUGCCUUAGGGAGGCUGCAGUGCCCAUUUGGUGAGGACUCCUUCAACUCCACGUGCUCACCCUGACACGGGCUCUUCCCUUGGGGCUGGUUACCCAAGGGUAUUUUUCCUUGUCUAGAUUUUCUGCUUUCUUCCCUUUACAAGUCAGCCUGUGCACGUGGAGAUAAAGGGGAGUUUAAGAUGAAAGAGACCAGCCUUGGAAUUUCAAGAAUUUAUUAGAUGUAUGAGUUUGGGUGAGCUUGAGUUGCUUUGAGUCUUCUUAUCAUUAAAGCAGAUUCACAACAUGAAAAAAAAAAAAAAAAAAAAAAAA